AUAAGUAACGUUAGUUGAUAGGCUAUAUUAUUAUAUUAUAUAUAUUAUUCAUAUUCAUAUAGCUGAUAAAUCUAGUCAUGCAAAUGCCCUCCUGUUAAUGUCCCAAUAACUGUUCAUCGAACACUUCAAUAGGUUAUUUCAGGGAAGUCACAGACAGCGAGGAUCAGUCUCUCAUCCAUCUUCUUUUUGUGCUGCGCGUCGCGUAGGCUACAGAAAGUUCAAGUCAAUUCAACUUUGGCAAGGGCGGGCGUGUGCGUGAGACGAGCACAACCACGACAGUUUCACGGGAACACGCCCGCUUUUUGCUACGCCUGUCUCAAUGCUUCUCUUCCUACACGCUUGCCUCUCAUUGAAAAUUAAUUACAGAAAAUCGCUUAAGCGGUUGACGAUGGAUGAUGGUAAACCUGUGUGAAAAGGCCUUUAUGCUAACGUUAGCUACCGUUAGCCAAAAAGUAACGUCAGGUAUCACCAGUGGCUGAAACCUUCCAGACAGUCGUCAACGCUUAUUAUUUUUCAUCUGGGGCUGCUCCUUGCUACCUGCGCUUUGGUCUGAGUCUGUCUUCACACCCACCCUCCACAUUGGGUUUCAGUCAGCCCUUAUCUGCAGACAUCCCUCCUGGCUAGAAAGUCACCAAAGCCUCUUCCCCUGACCUGCUCUGAUCUCCUUGCCUGUCUGAACAUACUAUUUGAGGAGGAAAACAGAACUGGCCCUGUGGCAAAGGAGUGGUUUUCAGAUGGGCUUGCUUGGUGGCCCCCCUAUAGGGACAAAGUCCAAAUUCUCCGAAGUGUCCAAAAGAGGAUUUUGCCGUAACCAACAAAGGGAUGGGGGCAUUAUGCUGCACGCAUACUCUACGAAUCAGAUUCUAUUGACAGAAUUAAAGAGCGCUGGGAAAUGUCUUGUGUGACAUCAGACCUCAACACAGAUAAAGAGCAAGAAGCCCAAACAGUUAGAAUACGGAAAAAACCAAAACGGCUUAGGUCACCAUCACCAUCAUCAUCCUCAUCACUUCUGUCAGAGGAAGAUGACUUUACUCCACCGCAAAUGCAACCUCCACCCAAAAAAAACAAAACACAUCAGAGAGCCCCUCCAAAAGCCCUGAAAGCACCUCCUUCCUUACUACUGGUCAUAAGACCCAUGAACCCAGAGAAUUCCCUCAGAGUUGUCACACCAAACACACCCAAGCACCUCAUUUUCCCACUCAACCUCUUCCAGCCUGCCAUCAAAAGGCUCAACGACAUAACAGACAAUGUAUAUAUAUAUAGACAACAGAUAAUUCACAGCCCAAACAGACAACUGCAGCCACAGUUCAGCUCCAGCCUGGUAACCUGGCAACAUGGGCUCUUCUGAAUUCACAACUUCGAAUUGGGGAAACGAAUUGGAGGCCAGACCAGACUGCCAUCAAGGGGCAACUUAUACAGAACGUAAGUGCCGUUUAGCGUUACUUUAUAUAGCUUAAAGUUAAAAGGCAUUUAAACCCCUUACCUACUAUGAAGUGAUCAUUACCCAUGCCCAUGUGCGGAGUUAAUAGUUUGAGUAUAUAUGGAGUGUAUCGAGAAACCGUGUGAUCACCAACUUGAAUGAUGGACUUCAAGUCCUCUUCAAGUCACAACAUCCAGAUGGAGCCCAGACACAGAGGUGGAGGCUAGGCUUCCAACUGCAUGGCAAGAUGAAGGACAAGACUCUCAUGAACAUAAGUUAUUUCACCCACUCAAGAGGCCAAGGUGCACAUCAGAAUGGAAAUAACAUUCAUACACCCAUGAGCAAUUAGGGGUUCAGUGUCUUGCAAAUGGACACUUCCUCAUGCAGACUGGGGGAGCUGGGGAACACCCAACUUUCUGGUUAGUGGACAACCACUCUCCCCCGAGCUACAGCCAUCCCAAUAACAAGAAUAUAAUUUAUAUUAUAUACCGCUUAGUACUGCUGGUUCUUCUAUCACAACCACUAUGUAUCAAGUGCAACAAAUACAUAUUGACAACAUGUAAUACAGACCCUUCCACCUGUAUUAUCUAGGAAAAUACAACUGUUGGAUUGGGAAUUAGUAUUUGCAGACACUCUAUAUUGAAUGACUCUGAUUGGGAUUGGGGCAAAAAAUCUUGAAGGGGAAAUCCCGUGAAAAAACAAAUCAACAGCCACAAUCAGAUACUUAGAAUGGUAAACACCUCUCCCUGUAUUACUGUUUUCCCUAGGUUCAAGAUCUCGCCCUCUCAACACCCACCAAGUCAUCCAGCCUAACUGCACUGCAGUGGAAAGGAUCAUCUUGGAGCAGCUGGGGGAACUUCGCCUGAAGGUCGGUUUGUUUUGGAGAGGAGACGACCUCGGAGAAUCAAGUAUUGAGUGACACUACAGCUAUCCAAGGUAUGUUUUCCAAUGGCAUAUUUCUGUUGAAUUAUUUGAGGAUGUUGACGUGAUGUUUUUUAUACUGCAUAGAUCUGAAGGAUAAGAGUUAAGACUAUACAGACAUUUGGUUUGGUUUUACAGUCCUAGGCUGCUUUAUAGUUUAAAGCAAAGUAAAGGUUUCUUCCGCCCUCACGUAACUAAAUUAAUUACUGAAAUAUAGAGUAUAUCCGCACCUGUAGGCCUAUGAUGGCAAAAAAUACUUAUCUUUGCCAGCAACAAAUGUUCCAUGUGACCAAACUUUUCCAAGGAUGGGGAUGUCAAUUAUGAAAAAAAACCCAACUCAGCCCCAAAACAGCUGAAUUUCUCUACUCACUAACUUCAACUACCUAGUAUUUCUAUUCCUUUCAUGCCUUGCAAGUAUCUGCAAAGAAUUCACCCUCAUAGAUCAAUAAAGUGUUCUGAAAAUGGAUAGGGUAGUGGUUAAAACAUAUACCUUUAGUGUGAGAGACGUGGGUUCGAUUCCCACUGUGAUGUGUUACUGAGUAAGACACUUCAUCUCUAGUUGCUCCAAAAGUGCACCCUCUGACGUAGCAAUUGUGAUUGGCUUUUGAGAAAAGCGUCAGCUAAAUGAGUGAUUACUUAUGAAACAACACACAGAUAUUUCACACACUUUUAUUGCAAUCCCCAUCUGCUGUCUCUGACAAUCUGAAAGCGCAUGUGUGUUUGUUGUAUGAUGAUUUCUCCGAAAUGCUGUUGGUCAUGUACUGAUAAGACGUUUAGAAUUGUAAACGCUGGUCAGUUAUUGUUUCAAUGAAACCCCUACCAAGAUGUGUCGAUAUCAAAAGGGACCAGUAGGUGUCACCGUGGAGACGGGUGUUGAAGUGUUUCGAAGUCUUGACACAAUUUCAGCACAAUUGCUUCAAACGUUUCAAUGUUUCACAAAGCCUCGCAUUGCCCAUCACUACUAAACACGACAACAUGAGACAGAACAUAUACACGCGCCAAUAACCGGACAAAGACUAAGGGAAACAAGCAAGGAUAUAUACACAGGGAUAACGAGCUGGGAAGAGGUACACAGGUGAGGGACAUGAGGCUAACGAGACACAGGCAGGCAGAGAAAGAGCAGGGGAAAACAGAGAGACUGGCAUGCAGAGUGAUAACUGGGGGAACAGACAUGACACAGGUUACUGAACACUAGACUAUAGACAAGACAGAACCCCAAUACACAACAGACCAAAAUAACAGAUAAUCAACUGACCAAACUCAAGAGGCAGAGUGUGACAAGUGGUCCAUGUCCAUUUCUUUUUUGCCAUAUAGCCAACCAUCCUGCUUAAAACAAGUUAUUGAUGCAUUAUGUUUUCCUGUUAAGGCCAAAGUUGAAAACCAUUAAUCUACAUACAUUUAUGUGUUUGCUGAUUUCCAUUGCUUUACAAAUGUUGAACCUAUGCAACCAAUUCUACUGCGAGCUUGAGAGAUACACACCACAACUGAUUGCCCUGUACAGGCAGAAGGCCAAGAGAGCAGAGGCCCUGCAGAGAUCCUCAGGAUUUAUGACCUCCAGGACCAACAUGAUGUACGCAUGAGAUGUCGUCCGACCCUCCAUGCCCUUCCAGUGAACCUGCUAGAGGAUGACUGACUUCUUCAAAACCUGCAAUUUGAGUCAGAUUAAGAAAGCGUCAGUACAGACAGAAGGAACCCAUAACAGCCACCAGUAACUCUUAACAUUUUGUCAUGGUAAAGAUGAACCAGACAUUGCUGACACUCCUCACUGUGAUCACUGACACUGAUGCUCCUGGUGCAGUACGCUUCAGCCCAAGUGAAAGGUGGCUGUGGAUGGAUUUGUUACAAACUCCUGAAAACACUUCUGAACUAUAUGCUCAGUAUGUUUACUGCAAGCUUACACCGGGGGAUAUUCAAAACAAAGGUUUUUGCUCAGUGUUCUUUUUUUAUAUUGUUCCAUUACCUCGUCUACCUCACUUAACAAUUUGCGUUGUGUGGGACUACUUAUUUUAAACAAAUGUCAUUAGCUAUCUUUAUUUGCUUUUGAUUCCCCAAAAGUAGAAUUUCUUUGAUUUAUUUAUUUUAAUUUAUUGGUAAUUUUUUUCUUACUCUGUAUUUAGAGCUCCCUUAAAUAUUAUUUAAGUAAAAGUGCUGCUGUUCGAAUAAAAUUAUGCAUUGUUGCUUUUUCCACAUAACACACUGCAGGUAGUAAAACGAAAGUUUGUCACUUAACACCAAAAGAUCUCAUUAAGUAUCUGUAAAUAGGGAAUGUUCAACAUUAUUGCAUAAAAGAAUGAAAACAAAUCGGUUAUCAAAA